UCCUGGACAACAAAGGGACAUCUUCCAGGAGCCUAUGCAUAACACUUCCUUGAACAGCAGAGGGAACGAGAGCGCUUGAUGAAGGCAGCUCCAGGAAAAAAACAGGAUCAUUCCUGCUUCCUGUACAAUUGCAAAAGCUUUUAAACUGGAUUCUUGAGGUGACCCAUGGUGAGUCUCAGCUCACGAGACUUCAGUGAAGCAAGUAGCAACAGGAGUCAACAGAAAUGUCAUCCCCUUGUCAAGCGUAAUGGAUCCUUGUUCAGCAUUACAGGGGACAGAAAUGACUUUCUCUGUACAAAGUGCAAGAGAAGGUUCAGGGACUGGAGAAACAAGUAUCAACCCUGCAUUGAAUAAGAGAAAAUGAAGAUUUCCUGGACAGACAUCAGGAUAUGCUUCUACAGGCACCACAUUCUGAAAAUUGAGAGCAGGCUGCGCAGCAGGGACAGAAGGACGGUGAAGAACU